AACAAUAUAAACAAGAGAUUGCAUUAGUCAGGAUCAUGUAUUUCUCUGGAGAACCCUUGCUAAUGUGUAUCCAUAUAGGAGGAGACAUGUUCUAGAACUGGUUCACAGAAGUUCUGAGGCCAAGAUAUCCCACAACCUCCUAUCUGCAGGCUGGGAACCAAGCAAGUCAGCAGUAUGAUUCAGUCUGAGUCCAGAAGCCUGAGAUCGAAUGUUGGAAAUGCGGGAUCUGUGCUGUCCUGUGUGGUACCCACUAGCCACAGGUGGAAGCAAGCAAGUAAAUGUGACCAGUGCAACUAAAGGAAUGAUUAUUUUUAUUUUUAAUUUUAUUUAAGUAAAAAUAUAUAUAGCCACAUGUGGCUAAUGUCUAUCAAAUUUUUGGUUUAGCUUUCAAAUGUAAAUGUUGUCUUUGUGUGUGCUUUUAUGUAAAUGCACUUUACCUUUACACAAUAAAACUUUGUAAUCUUCGGAUACACAGGA